GACGAACGCUGGCGGCGUGCUUAACACAUGCAAGUCGAACGGAAAGGCCCUGCUUUUGUGGGGUGCUCGAGUGGCGAACGGGUGAGUAACACGUGAGUAACCUGCCCUUGACUUUGGGAUAACUUCAGGAAACUGGGGCUAAUACCGGAUAGGAGCUCCUGCUGCAUGGUGGGGGUUGGAAAGUUUCGGCGGUUGGGGAUGGACUCGCGGCUUAUCAGCUUGUUGGUGGGGUAGUGGCUUACCAAGGCUUUGACGGGUAGCCGGCCUGAGAGGGUGACCGGCCACAUUGGGACUGAGAUACGGCCCAGACUCCUACGGGAGGCAGCAGUGGGGAAUAUUGCACAAUGGGCGGAAGCCUGAUGCAGCAACGCCGCGUGCGGGAUGACGGCCUUCGGGUUGUAAACCGCUUUCGCCUGUGGCGAAGCGUGAGUGGCGGUAAUGGGUAAAGAAGCACCGGCUAACUACGUG
rnacentral:rRNA from 1 species